rnacentral:rRNA from 1 species
GAUGAACGCUGGCGGCGUGCCUAAUACAUGCAAGUCGAGCGAACAGACCAGGAGCUUGCUCCUCCGACGGUAGCGGCGGACGGGUGAGUAACACGUGGACAACCUACCUAUAAGACUGGGAUAACUUCGGGAAACCGGAGCUAAUACCGGAAAAUAUAUUGAACCGCAUGGUUCAAUAGUGAAAGACGGUUUUGCUGUCACUUAUAGAUGGAUCCGCGCCGCAUUAGCUAGUGGGUAAGGUAACGGCUUACCAAGGCAACGAUGCUUAGCCGACCCGAGAGGGUGGUCCGCCACCCUGUAAGUGAGACACGGUCCAGACUCCUGCAGGGGGCAGCAGUAGGGAAUCUUCCGGAAUGGAGGAAAGCCUGACGGUACACCGCCGCGUGAGUGAUGAAGGUCUUCGGAUCGUAAAACUCUGUAAUUAGGGAAGAACAAAUGUGUAAGUAACUAUGAACGUCUUGACGGUACCUAAUCAGGAAGCCACGGCUAACUCCGUG